AAAUUGAAGAGUUUGAUCAUGGCUCAGAUUGAACGCUGGCGGCAGGCCUAACACAUGCAAGUCGAGCGGCAGCGGGAAAGUAGCUUGCUACUUUU
rnacentral:rRNA from 1 species